AGAGAAAGCGUCCCCUUUUCUCUUCUUUUAUUUAUAUCAAUACACUUGUACUGUUUUAUUUUGAAAAACCUUUAUUUUGAAAAGAGGAAGUGUGAUUCCCUCGUCUUAACCUUACUUCCGGUCUCGCUAUAUGCGGCACUUUGAACUGAAGGUGGCAGGCCGUAGACCCGCUGUGCUGAACUUUAUCAGUCAUCUUGUUGAUGGAACACGAGCUAGAGAGGCCGUGUGGCUGACCGUCGCCGUGUCCUUAUUGAUACCUCAUCUUGGCUAGGUUUGAUUUGCUGAUUAAGAAGUUGGAUUGGAUUGCUGGAUCGCAUCCUUGGAUUCUCUCCGGACGGAGAUGGCGAGCCUAUGCCCAGAGCAGAACUGAACAUUGGUCGAGGAGUCCCCUUCUUCUCUUCUGUGUUAACAUCUACGUGGUAACAAUACAAACCACUGACUGAAAAAAGGAGCUGAACUUGAAAGACAAACAUAUUUUGACUUGACUAACGACCAAAAGGACAAAGCUGAAAUACUGAGCUCAGUAAGACUGUGUUUUGAUUUUGAUAUGCCGGCUUGUUGUUAUUAUUAUUGUUCUGAUUACGUUGUGUUGUUAUUUCAUUUUUGCUCAAAAUAAUAACUGUCUUUUGCUCA